CCGCCCUGGCUGCUCCGGUUGAGGCCGGCGGCUUGCCCGCGGGCUCACGAGUCCUUGGUAAACCAAGAGGCCAUCUCGCUUUGCUCUCUGCGUGAAGCAACGCCCUCUAUGACUGACGUGUCUCUGAACCUAUAGAACGUAGCUAUUUUCUGCCUCUGCACGGCCAGUGCCUAGCAAUCCACGUGGAGCUGCGCCAAUCGGAAGUGGUCCAGUGUCUGCACCGCCUCCCGGAGCUCGCUGUGCACGCCUUGGCUGCCUUAGCAGGACGCGCGUGCAGAAGAAGGGCGGUGGAGCCCUGCCAUGCAGCUCCCAAAGGACGCCACCGGGCACAGCCCGCUGGCCUCAGUGUCUAUUAUCCUCCCAGUGCACAAUGCUGAACAGUGGUUGGAUGAGUGCUUGGCAUCUGUUUUGCAGCAAGACUUUGAAGGCACCAUGGAGCUCUCUGUCUUUAAUGAUGCCAGCAAGGACAAGUCUAGGACCAUCAUUGAAAAAUGGAAAGUGAAACUGGAAGAUUCUGGCAUCUCUGUAGUCAUUGGAGGCCAUGACUCUCCUUCUCCCAGAGGAGUUGGAUAUUCUAAAAACCAAGCAAUCGCACAGAGCACAGGGUCUUACCUUUGCUUUUUGGAUUCAGAUGAUGUUAUGAUGCCCCAGAGAGUAAGGCUACAGCAUGAAGCUGCUGUUCAGCACCCAACGAGUAUCAUAGGAUGCCAAGUAAGGAGAGACCCUCCAGACUCUACAGAGCGAUACACUCGUUGGAUCAACCAGUUGACAUCUGAUCAGCUGUUGACACAGGUGUUCACCUCCCACGGCCCCACAGUGAUCAUGCCCACCUGGUUCUGCUCUCGCGCCUGGUUUUCCCAUGUGGGCCCAUUUGAUGAAGGAGGACGGGGGGUACCAGAGGACCUGCUGUUCUUCUAUGAGCACCUUAGGAAAGGGGGUGGUGUAUUCCGGGUGGACCACAAACUGCUCCUCUACCGCUACCACCUGUAUGCCACCACACAUUCAGUCCUUGAGAUGACCAUCUGGAUCCACCGCGUCCACUUUCUAGAGGAACGGGUCCUGCCUCGUUGGAAGUCCUUCACCAUUUGGAAUGCAGGCAAGCAGGGGCGAAGGUUGUACCGCAGCCUGACUGCAGCCAGCCGGCGCAAGGUGGUGGCCUUCUGUGAUGUUGAUGAGAACAAAAUCAGGAAGGGCGUCUACUGCCACGAGGACUCUCAGGAAAGACCCAAGCCGAAGGUCCCCAUCCUGCACUUCCAAGCUGCCAAGUCACCCUUUGUCAUCUGUGUGAAACUGCAGGCGAUAGUCAGCAUUCCUGCCACCCACCAUCCUGCUCCAGCUUUGGGUCCAGGAUAGUCUUAUUCUAAAGACCCCUCACUGCAAGUGCUGGACCUCACAGGGGGUGAGUUUGAAGACAACCUGAAGUCACUGCACUUGCAGGAAGGCCAGGACUUCGUUCAUUUCAGCUGAGGCUGCUGCCAAGUGCUCUACACUGCAGGGUUUUUCUGUGUGGUCCUGGAUCUCACUAUGCAGACUGUUGUCCAACUCAGAGAGACCUGCCUGCCUCUGCUGGAAUUAAAGGUGUGCACACCACUCAUGACGACCCAGGGUUUCUCGCAUGCAACAUCCCUAGUCCUGUGGCUUUACUUUUGGAAAUUGUUCUUUUAUAUUGGUUCUAAAAUUACUGGCAGUGA